ensembl:processed_transcript Gm20529 predicted gene 20529
AUGGAAUAAUAAUUUAAUGCUCACUGUAGCCUGGCCUGGAAGUCAAGCUCAGGCUCCCACCAGCGAGGCUACACACAGGCAGAUGGGUGGGUGGAAGUGGUAAGAGUGAGGCUACUUACUGCUCCUCAGGGAUCCGUUCCACAGCCCGCAGGGAGUGUGGGUAGCACACAUAGCUGGCCAGGGCCUGCAUCAGUGAGUCUCGA